AGACCCGAAACCCGGUGAUCUAGCCAUGGGCAGGUUGAAGGUUGGGUAACACUAACUGGAGGACCGAACCGACUAAUGUUGAAAAAUUAGCGGAUGACUUGUGGCUGGGGGUGAAAGGCCAAUCAAACCGGGAGAUAGCUGGUUCUCCCCGAAAGCUAUUUAGGUAGCGCCUCGUGAAUUCAUCUCCGGGGGUAGAGCACUGUUUCGGCAAGGGGGUCAUCCCGACUUACCAACCCGAUGCAAACUGCGAAUACCGGAGAAUGUUAUCACGGGAGACACACGGCGGGUGCUAACGUCCGUCGUGAAGAGGGAAACAACCCAGACCGCCAGCUAAGGUCCCAAAGUCAUGGUUAAGUGGGAAACGAUGUGGGAAGGCCCAGACAGCCAGGAUGUUGGCUUAGAAGCAGCCAUCAUUUAAAGAAAGCGUAAUAGCUCACUGGUCGAGUCGGCCUGCGCGGAAGAUGUAACGGGGCUAAACCAUGCACCGAAGCUGCGGCAGCGACA
rnacentral:rRNA from 1 species